rnacentral:rRNA from 1 species
AACAGACCAAAAAAGCCGCCUUCGCCACUGGGUGUUCCCUCCACAUCUCUACGCAUUUCACCGCUACACGUGGAAUUCCGCUUUUUCUCUUCUGCACUCAAGUUCCCCAGUUUCCAAUGACCCUCCACGGUUGAGCCGUGGGCUUUCACAUCAGACUUAAGAAACCGCCUGCGCGCGCUUUACGCCCAAUAAUUCCGGAUAACGCUUGCCACCUACGUAUUACCGCGGCUGCUGGCACGUAGUUAGCCGUGGCUUUCUGGUUAGGUACCGUCAAGGUACAAGCAGUUACUCUUGUACUUGUUCUUCCCUAACAACAGAGUUUUACGACCCGAAAGCCUUCAUCACUCACGCGGCGUUGCUCCGUCAGACUUUCGUCCAUUGCGGAAGAUUCCCUACUGCUGCCUCCCGUAGGAGUCUGGGCCGUGUCUCAGUCCCAGUGUGGCCGAUCACCCUCUCAGGUCGGCUAUGCAUCGUUGCCUUGGUGAGCCGUUACCUCACCAACUAGCUAAUGCACCGCGGGCCCAUCUGUAAGUGAUAGCCGAAACCAUCUUUCAAUCAUCUCCCAUGAAGGAGAAGAUCCUAUCCGGUAUUAGCUUCGGUUUCCCGAAGUUAUCCCAGUCUUACAGGCAGGUUGCCCACGUGUUACUCACCCGUCCGCCGCUAACGUCAUAGAAGCAAGCUUCUAAUCAGUUCGCUCGACUGCAUUAUAGAGCCCCCCU